rnacentral:rRNA from 1 species
UACGUAGGGGGCAAGCGUUGUCCGGAUUUAUUGGGCGUAAAGAGCUCGUAGGCGGCUUGGCAAGUCGGGUGUGAAAACUCCAGGCUCAACCUGGAGAUGCCACUCGAGACUGCUAUGGCUAGAGUCCGGUAGGGGACCACGGAAUUCCUGGUGUAGCGGUGAAAUGCGCAGAUAUCAGGAGGAACACCGGUGGCGAAGGCGGUGGUCUGGGCCGGCAACUGACGCUGGAGGAGCGAAAGCGUGGGGAGCAAACAGG